GAUGAACGCUAGCUACAGGCUUAACACAUGCAAGUCGAGGGACCGGCGCACGGGUGAGUAACACGUAUCCAACCUGCCCUUUACUCGGGGAUAGCCUUUCGAAAGACAGAUUAAUACCAGAUAGAAAGGAGGGGGAUGCGUUCCUUUAGGUUGUUGGUGAGGUAACGGCUCACAAAGCCUUCGAUGGAUAGGGGUUCUGAGAGGAAGGUCCCCCACAUUGGAACGGGGACACGGUCCAAACGCCUACGGGAGGCAGCAGUGAGGAAUAGUGGUCAAUGGGCGCUAGCCUGAACCAGCCAAGUAGCGGGAAGGAGGAAGGCUUAUGGGGCGUAAACUUCUUUUAUAUAAGAAUAGGUAUUAUAUGAAGAAGGAUCGGCUAACUCCGUGCCAGCCGCCGCGGUAAUAC
rnacentral:rRNA from 1 species